rnacentral:rRNA from 1 species
CGGACGGGUGAGUAAUGUCUGGGAAACUGCCCGAUGGAGGGGGAUAACUACUGGAACGGUAGCUAAUACCGCAUAACGUCGCAAGACCAAAGAGGGGGACCUUCGGGCCUCUUGCCAUCGGAUGUGCCAGAUGGGAUUAGCUAGUAGGUGGGGUAACGGCUCACCUAGGCGACGAUCCCUAGCUGGUCUGAGAGGAUGACCAGCCACACUGGAACUGAGACACGGUCCAG